rnacentral:ncRNA from 2 species
UACAUCUGUGGCAAUGAUAUCUGCCCUUAACCGCCCAAAAAGCUGAUGAUGUCUACUUAAUU